rfam:Triticum aestivum genome assembly, contig: Triticum_aestivum_CS42_TGACv1_scaffold_012232_1AL
AAAGUACUCCCUCCGUCCCAAAAUUCUUGUGUUAGAUUUGUCUAGAUACGGAUGUAUCAAGUCACAUUUUAGUAUUAGAUACAUCCGUAUCUAGACAAAUCUAAGACAAGAAAUUUGGGACAGAGGGAGUAGUUG